GACAAAGUGGUAUAAUGGGAAUAACACUGGAUAUUGAAAUCAGAGAAUCUGGGUUCAAAUCCCAGUUUUGCCA
rnacentral:tRNA from 1 species